AAUUUAGAAAUAAAGCGAGUUAUGGGAUGGACAGGCAGACAGCAGAACUCUCCCGGGAGGAGCCAGGGCCGCUGCGCAGGUGGUUUGGCAUGGGAUCUUUCUCUUCUUUGCCCUGGAUUGUUGCUGCUAUUCAGGGCUCUGAGGGUUAAGUGCUCCAGGAUAUUUUUAAACAGCAGGGGCCGGUUAAUCUAAAAGUGACAUUUGCAGUCCCCACAGUAAACAGCCAGCAGGCUUAGAUUCAGGCCCUCGGCAAACAAGGAACCUGGAAAAUGUAACUCUGAAUGCACAGUUGGGAGGACAUGGCAAGACAAAAGCUGCAGGAAUAAAGUGAUUUUCUGAAUGGUCUUGCUUCUUUUCCUAUGUUGUCUGAUUUUCUCCUGUCUGACCUUUUCCUGGUUAAAAAUCUGGGGGAAAAUGACGGACUCCAAGCCGAUCACCAAGAGCAAGUCAGAAGCAAACUUCAUCCCAAGCCAGGAGCCCUUUCCAGACUCUGAAAACUUAGGGGAGACACCGCAGAGAAAUGAGGAGGGCCGCUCUCUGCCCAAGACUCCCAGCCAGGCCGAGCCAGCCUCCCACAAAGGCCCCAAAGGUGCCGGUUGGCGGAGGAACUCCCUGCCACCCUCCCACCAGAAGCCCCCAAAAAACCCCAUUUCUUCCAAUGAUGCAGCACCCUCCCCAGAGCUCCAAGCCAAUGGGACCGGGACACAGGGCCUGGAGGCCCCAGAUACCAAUGGCCUGUCCUCCCCAGCCAGGCCCCAGGGCCAGCAAGCCAGCUCCCCCUCCAAAGAAGACAAGAAGCAGGCAAACAUCAAGAGGCAGCUGAUGACCAGCUUCAUCCUGGGCUCUUUUGAUGACUGCUCCUCUGACGAGGACUCUGUUACUGGCUCAUCUCGUGAGACUCCCCGGAAGGGCAGCCGGGCCAGCCUGGGAUCCCUGACCCUGGAGGCUCCUCUGACCGCAGGUGAACCUGAGACCCGCAUCCCCACUAUGAGGCCAAGCAUGUCGGGACUCCACCUGGUGAAGAGGGGACGGGAACACAAGAAGCUGGACCUGCACAGAGACUUUACCGUGGCUUCUCCUGCUGAGUUUGUCACACGCUUUGGGGGGGAUCGGGUCAUCGAGAAGGUGCUUAUUGCCAACAACGGGAUCGCCGCCGUGAAGUGCAUGCGCUCCAUCCGCAGGUGGGCCUACGAGAUGUUCCGAAACGAGCGGGCCAUCCGGUUUGUUGUGAUGGUGACCCCCGAGGACCUCAAGGCCAAUGCAGAGUACAUCAAGAUGGCAGAUCAGUAUGUGCCUGUCCCGGGAGGGCCCAAUAACAACAACUAUGCCAAUGUCGAGCUGAUUGUGGACAUUGCCAAGAGAAUCCCCGUGCAGGCGGUGUGGGCUGGCUGGGGCCAUGCUUCUGAAAACCCUAAACUUCCGGAGCUGCUGUGCAAGAAUGGAGUUGCUUUCUUAGGCCCUCCCAGUGAGGCCAUGUGGGCCUUAGGAGAUAAGAUCGCCUCCACCAUCGUGGCCCAGACUCUGCAGAUCCCAACCCUGCCCUGGAGCGGAAGUGGCCUGACAGUGGAGUGGACAGAAGAUGAUCUGCAGCAGCGGGAAAGAAUCAGUGUACCAGAAGACGUUUACGACCAGGGUUGCGUGAAAGAUGUAGACGAGGGCUUGGAGGCAGCAGAAAAAAUUGGUUUUCCAUUGAUGAUCAAAGCUUCUGAAGGUGGCGGAGGGAAGGGAAUCCGGAAGGCUGAGAGUGUGGAGGACUUCCCGAUCCUUUUCAGACAAGUACAGAGUGAGAUCCCAGGCUCGCCCAUCUUUCUCAUGAAGCUGGCCCAGCACGCCCGUCACCUGGAAGUUCAGAUCCUCGCUGACCAGUAUGGGAACGCUGUGUCUCUGUUUGGUCGAGACUGCUCCAUCCAGCGGCGGCAUCAGAAGAUCAUUGAGGAGGCACCGGCCACCAUCGCCCCGCUGGCCGUGUUCGAGUUCAUGGAGCAGUGUGCUGUCCGCCUGGCCAAGACCGUGGGCUACGUUAGUGCAGGGACAGUGGAAUACCUCUACAGCCAGGACGGCAGCUUCCACUUCUUGGAGCUGAAUCCUCGCCUGCAGGUGGAACAUCCCUGCACAGAAAUGAUCGCUGACGUCAAUCUGCCGGCCGCCCAGCUACAGAUCGCCAUGGGCGUACCUCUGCACCGGCUGAAGGACAUCCGGCUUCUAUACGGAGAGUCGCCAUGGGGAGUGACUCCCAUUUCUUUUGAAACCCCCUCAAACCCUCCCCUCGCCCGAGGCCACGUCAUUGCUGCCAGAAUCACCAGCGAAAACCCAGAUGAGGGGUUUAAGCCGAGCUCUGGGACCGUCCAGGAACUGAAUUUCCGCAGCAGCAAGAACGUGUGGGGUUACUUCAGCGUGGCCGCUGCCGGAGGCCUGCACGAGUUUGCGGAUUCCCAGUUUGGGCACUGCUUCUCCUGGGGAGAGAACCGGGAAGAGGCCAUUUCGAACAUGGUGGUGGCUUUGAAGGAACUGUCCAUCCGGGGUGACUUUAGGACCACCGUGGAAUACCUCAUUAACCUUCUGGAGACCGAGAGCUUCCAGAACAACGACAUUGACACCGGGUGGCUGGACUGCCUCAUCGCCGAGAAAGUGCAGGCCGAGAAGCCGGAUAUCAUGCUCGGGGUGGUAUGCGGGGCCUUGAAUGUGGCUGAUGCGAUGUUCAGGACGUGCAUGACAGAUUUCUUACACUCCCUGGAAAGGGGCCAGGUCCUCCCAGCAGAUUCACUACUGAACAUUGUAGACGUGGAAUUAAUUUAUGGAGGUGUUAAGUACAUUCUCAAGGUGGCCCGGCAGUCUCUGACCAUGUUCGUUCUCAUCAUGAAUGGCUGCCACAUCGAGAUCGACGCCCACCGGCUGAACGAUGGGGGGCUGCUGCUGUCCUACAAUGGGAACAGCUACACCACCUACAUGAAGGAAGAGGUGGACAGUUACCGAAUUACCAUUGGCAAUAAGACGUGUGUGUUUGAGAAGGAGAACGACCCUACAGUCCUGAGAUCUCCCUCGGCUGGGAAGCUGACACAGUACACAGUGGAGGACGGGGGCCACGUGGAGGCUGGGAGCAGCUACGCUGAGAUGGAGGUGAUGAAGAUGAUCAUGACCCUGAACGUGCAGGAAAGUGGCCGGGUGAAAUACCUCAAGCGUCCAGGGGCCAUGCUGGAAGCAGGCUGCGUGGUGGCCAGACUGGAGCUUGAUGACCCUUCUAAAGUUCACCCGGCUGAACCGUUCACAGGAGAACUCCCCGCCCAGCAGACGUUGCCCAUUCUCGGAGAGAAACUGCACCAGGUCUUCCACAACGUCCUGGAAAACCUCACCAACAUCAUGAGUGGCUUCUGUCUGCCAGAGCCCAUUUUUAGCAUAAAGCUGAAGGAGUGGGUGCAGAAGCUCAUGGUGACCCUCCGGCACCCAUCACUGCCGCUGCUGGAGCUGCAGGAGAUCAUGACCAGCGUGGCUGGCCGCAUCCCCGUCCCCGUGGAGAAGUCGGUCCGCAGGGUGAUGGCCCAGUACGCCAGCAACAUCACCUCGGUGCUGUGCCAGUUCCCCAGCCAGCAGAUCGCCACCAUCCUGGACUGCCAUGCGGCCACCCUGCAGCGGAAGGCUGACCGGGAGGUCUUCUUCAUCAACACCCAGAGCAUCGUGCAGUUGGUCCAGAGAUACCGCAGCGGGACCCGUGGCUAUAUGAAAACAGUGGUGCUGGAUCUCCUGAGAAGAUACUUGCACGUCGAGCACCAUUUUCAGCAAGCUCACUACGACAAGUGUGUGAUAAACCUCAGGGAGCAGUUCAAGCCAGACAUGUCCCAGGUGCUGGACUGCAUCUUCUCCCACGCGCAGGUGGCCAAGAAGAACCAGCUGGUGAUCAUGUUAAUCGAUGAGCUGUGUGGCCCAGACCCUUCCCUGUCGGACGAGCUGACCUCCAUCCUCAACGAGCUCACUCAGCUGAGCAAAAGUGAGCACUGCAAAGUGGCCCUCAGAGCCCGGCAGAUCCUGAUUGCCUCCCACCUCCCCUCCUACGAGCUGCGGCACAACCAGGUGGAGUCCAUUUUCCUGUCUGCCAUUGACAUGUAUGGCCACCAGUUCUGCCCUGAGAACCUCAAGAAAUUAAUACUUUCGGAAACAACCAUCUUCGACGUCCUGCCUUCUUUCUUCUAUCACGCUAACAAAGUCGUGUGCAUGGCGUCCUUGGAGGUUUACGUGCGGAGGGGCUACAUCGCCUAUGAGUUAAACAGCCUGCAGCACCGGCAGCUCCCUGACGGCACCUGCGUGGUGGAAUUUCAGUUCAUGCUGCCCUCCUCUCACCCAAACCGGAUGACCGUGCCCAUCAGCAUCACCAACCCUGACCUGCUGAGGCACAGCACGGAGCUCUUCAUGGACAGCGGCUUCUCCCCACUGUGUCAGCGCAUGGGGGCCAUGGUAGCCUUCAGGAGAUUCGAGGACUUUACCAGAAACUUUGAUGAAGUCAUCUCCUGCUUCGCCAACGUGCCCAAAGACACCCCCCUCUUCAGUGAGGCCCGCACCUCCCUGUAUUCUGAGGAUGACUGCAAGAGCCUCAGAGAAGAGCCCAUUCACAUUCUGAACGUGUCCAUCCAAUGUGCAGACCGCCUGGAAGAUGAGGCACUGGUGCCGAUUUUACGGACAUUCGUACAGUCCAAGAAAAAUAUCCUUGUGGAUUAUGGACUCCGACGAAUCACAUUCCUGAUUGCCCAAGAGAAAGAAUUUCCCAAGUUUUUCACAUUCAGAGCAAGAGAUGAGUUCGCGGAAGAUCGCAUUUACCGCCACUUGGAGCCUGCCCUGGCCUUCCAGCUGGAACUCAGCCGGAUGCGUAACUUCGAUCUGACCGCUGUGCCCUGUGCCAACCACAAGAUGCACCUUUACCUGGGUGCUGCCAAGGUGAAGGAAGGGGCAGAAGUGACGGAUCAUAGGUUCUUCAUCCGCGCCAUCAUCAGGCACUCGGACCUGAUUACAAAGGAAGCCUCCUUUGAGUACCUGCAGAAUGAGGGGGAGCGGCUGCUGCUGGAGGCCAUGGACGAGCUGGAGGUGGCGUUCAACAACACCAGCGUGCGCACCGACUGCAACCACAUCUUCCUCAACUUCGUGCCCACCGUCAUCAUGGACCCCUUCAAGAUCGAGGAGUCCGUGCGCUCCAUGGUUAUGCGCUACGGCAGCCGGUUGUGGAAACUCCGCGUGCUGCAGGCCGAGGUCAAGAUCAACAUCCGCCAGACCACCACCGGCAGUGCCGUUCCCAUCCGCCUGUUCAUCACCAACGAGUCAGGCUACUACCUGGACAUCAGCAUCUACAAAGAAGUGACCGACCCCAGAUCCGGAAAUAUCAUGUUUCACUCCUUCGGCAACAAGCAAGGCCCCCAGCACGGAAUGCUGAUCAAUACUCCCUACGUCACCAAGGAUCUGCUCCAGGCCAAGCGAUUCCAGGCCCAGUCCCUGGGAACCACCUACAUCUAUGAUUUCCCGGAAAUGUUCAGGCAGGCUCUCUUUAAACUGUGGGGCUCCCCAGACAAGUAUCCCAAAGACAUCCUGACUUAUACUGAGUUAGUGUUGGCCUCUCAGGGCCAGUUGGUGGAGAUGAACCGACUUCCUGGUGGAAACGAGGUGGGCAUGGUGGCCUUCAAAAUGAGGUUUAAGACCCUGGAGUACCCAGAAGGGCGAGACGUGAUCGUCAUCGGCAACGACAUCACCUUUCGCAUCGGGUCCUUUGGCCCCGGGGAGGACCUUCUAUAUCUGCGAGCAUCCGAGAUGGCCCGGGCAGAGGGCAUUCCCAAAAUCUACGUGGCAGCCAACAGUGGGGCCCGGAUUGGCCUGGCAGAGGAGAUCAAACACAUGUUCCACGUGGCUUGGGUGGAUCCAGAAGACCCCCACAAAGGAUUUAAAUACCUGUACCUGACUCCCCAAGACUACACCAGAAUCAGCUCCCUGAACUCCGUCCACUGUAAACACAUCGAGGAAGGAGGAGAAUCCAGAUAUAUGAUCACGGAUAUCAUCGGGAAGGAUGAUGGCUUGGGUGUGGAGAAUCUGAGGGGCUCAGGCACGAUUGCUGGGGAGUCCUCCCGGGCUUACGAAGAGAUCGUCACCAUUAGCUUGGUGACCUGCCGAGCCCUUGGGAUCGGGGCCUACUUGGUGAGGCUGGGCCAGCGAGUGAUCCAGGUGGAGAACUCCCACAUCAUCCUCACAGGAGCAAGUGCUCUCAACAAGGUCCUGGGAAAAGAGGUCUACACAUCCAACAACCAGCUGGGUGGCGUUCAGAUCAUGCAUUACAAUGGCGUCUCCCACAUCACCGUGCCAGAUGACUUUGAGGGGGUUUAUACCAUCCUGGAGUGGCUGUCCUAUAUCCCAAAGGAUAAUCACAGCCCUGUCCCUAUCAUCACACCCACUGACCCCAUUGACAGAGAAAUUGAAUUCCUUCCAUCCAGAACUCCCUAUGACCCCCGGUGGAUGCUUGCAGGAAGGCCUCACCCAACUCUGAAGGGAACGUGGCAGAGUGGAUUCUUUGACCAUGGCAGUUUCAAGGAAAUCAUGGCACCCUGGGCACAGACUGUGGUGACGGGACGAGCAAGGCUUGGGGGGAUUCCGGUGGGAGUGAUCGCCGUGGAGACGAGGACCGUGGAGGUGGCGAUCCCUGCAGACCCUGCCAACCUGGAUUCUGAGGCCAAGAUAAUUCAGCAGGCAGGACAGGUGUGGUUCCCAGACUCAGCCUACAAAACUGCCCAGGCCAUCAAGGACUUCAACCGGGAGAAGUUGCCACUGAUGAUCUUUGCCAAUUGGAGGGGGUUCUCUGGUGGCAUGAAAGACAUGUACGACCAGGUGCUGAAGUUCGGAGCCUACAUCGUGGACAGCCUCAGACAAUAUAAACAGCCCAUCCUGAUCUAUAUCCCGCCCUAUGCGGAGCUCCGGGGAGGCUCCUGGGUGGUCAUAGAUGCCACUAUCAACCCGCUGUGCAUAGAAAUGUAUGCAGACAAAGAGAGCAGGGGUGGUGUUCUGGAGCCAGAGGGGACAGUGGAGAUUAAAUUCCGAAAGAAAGAUCUGAUAAAGUCGAUGAGAAGGAUCGAUCCAGCUUACAAGAAGCUCGUGGAACAGCUAGGGGAACCCAAUCUCUCCGACAAGGACCGCAAGGACCUGGAGGGCCGGCUGAAGGCCCGCGAGGACCUGCUGCUCCCCAUCUACCACCAGGUGGCGGUGCAGUUUGCCGACCUCCACGACACGCCCGGCCGGAUGCUGGAGAAGGGCGUCACGUCUGCCUGGCUCAUCUGCAGGACAUCCUGGAGUGGAAGACCUCGCGCACCUUCCUGUACUGGCGCCUGCGCCGCCUCCUCCUGGAGGACCAGGUCAAGCAGGAGAUCCUGCGGGCCAGCGGGGAGCUGAGUCACGUGCACAUCCAGUCCAUGCUACGCCGCUGGUUCGUGGAGACGGAGGGGGCUGUCAAGGCCUACCUGUGGGACAACAACCAGGCGGUUGUACAGUGGCUGGAACAGCACUGGCAGGCGGGGGACGGCCUGCGCUCCACCAUCCGCGAGAACAUCACCUAUCUGAAGCGCGACUCUGUCCUCAAGACCAUCCGAGACCUGGUUGAAGAGAACCCCGAGGUGGCCGCGGACUGUGUGAUAUACCUGAGCCACCACAUCAGCCCAGCCGAGCGGGCGCAGGUGGUUCACUUGCUGUCUACCAUGGACAGCCCGGCCUCCACCUGACCCCGGCCCGCCCAGCCACUCCCGGGACCACGCAAGAGAAACCACCCAGACCCACCGCCCGUACAACCUCAGCAGGACCUUGAAGGCUUGCUUUUUAAAAAAGAAAAUCCUGGCGCUUCUACAGGGCUGCUGGUUCCGAGCUGACACCCAUCUCAAUGAAAGGCCCAGGAGAGCCUCUUCCAAACAGAAACAGCCUCCUUUCCAUAGCUGGGAAGUUUAUACUGUUUUGUCUCUGAAGACGGCAUUUUUGUUGCAUCACUAAAUCAAAUCCAGCUAAGACAUCCCUGUUUCCUUCUACGAAACAGUGCCUGACACGUGGGAUCCAGGCAUUCUUUGGGCUCAUUUGAUAUCACAUCAUUAAAUCUUUUAUUUUUUUACUCUGAGACCAGCACUAGAUAUAAGCAUCUUAUAUAUUUCAGCCAAAUAAAUGAGCCAGGGAAAAACAUGUAGAGAGAGACAGGACUAGAGAAAACCUAUUUUUGUAAUGAUGUUUCUUUGGAUACCGUCUAGUCACCCAGGAAAACGUAUGUAUAAUUUUUUUUAAGACAGUCUCAGGCUGGAGUGCAGUGGUGCAAUCUCACUGUGACCUCCGUUUUCCAGGGUCAAGUGGUUCUCCUGUCUCAGCCUCCCAAGUAGCUGGGAUUACAGGUACCCACCACCACACCUGACUAAUUUUUGUAUUUUUAGUAAAGACAGGGUUUCACCAUGUUGGUCAGGCUGAUCUCGAACUCCUGACCUCAAGUAAUCUGCCCAAACCUUGGCAGUGUAAUCACAAAGUGCUGGGAUUACAGGCAUGAGCCACCAUCCUCAGCCAGAUGAGUUUUUGUUGAGAGAAUGAAAUGGUAUUUUGUUCCCCACAUGGCCCUAGUGAAUCACCAGGAGUGUCUCCCUGGUAGGCCAUGUUUAGCGCGGGUUGGCAGGAUUCUCUUUUUGAGAGAGGAAAGCAAAAUGAAUGGAAGUGCCUGCUGAAGGUUUCAGGACGUCUGGAGGAUGCUCUCACGUAGCUCGAGGUCCUCUGCCUGCCUCCCUCCAAGGAAAAUGAGGACUCCCCUUCCCCCUGCAGGACUGGUCCCCAGCCUGUGCAUGCACCCUCCUCCUGCCCAAGUGGGGAGCACAGAGGCGGAGGGGAACACCUCACCACGCUCAUAGCCCAGCUUACUCACUAGUGUCACCUCUGUGAUGGUCACCACUGCUCCCUUGGAGGGCCACUGGAGUCACUGUUGUUCCCUUGCCUGCUGGCUUGAUGAACACAGAUGGUGGGAUCUGACCCUGAGGAGCAGAGCUGUCAGUGACCAAGGACCAGAUUGUGGUGACCAUGCCGAUUUGCGGUCAUGGGAACGCAUCCAGCAGCUCCUGGCUCUGCAGGCGCCACAGUCUAGGGCCCUGCGCUCCUCUGGUUUCCCCCAUAGGGGUGGAGCCGGGGGUGGGGGGAGUUGGCCACAACCCACUGCCGUGGUGGGUGGUUUGUCCGAGGGUGCUGAAUGUCAUGGCUGGUCAAUGUGGAAGCCCACAAGGUCGCCCAGGGAAGCCUCCAAAAGCUGGGAUGCUUGGGGGCAUCCAAGUUUAAAAAGACAGAAUCUGACCAUUAGCCAAUGACAACCCUGGCAAAUGAAGGUGGGCGGGCAGUGAGGGGUGGGAGAAGGUGCAUUAUUCAUUAUUCCAUCCUGAGGUCUGCUGUAGGGUUGAGGGGAGGAAUCAAUGCUGCUUUGGGAACUGAAGGUUUUUCUCUUGGAAAGGCCCUCUUGGUUUUGGAGAGAAAGACAAGUUAUGGGUCGCUGCUACCUUGGAACUGGGCAGAGAGCCCACCAGGAAAUGUGCAGAAUAAACUAUUUUUUGAAGGAAA